rnacentral:rRNA from 1 species
GACGUAGGGCGCGAGCGUUGUCCGGAAUUAUUGGGCGUAAAGGGCUCGUAGGCGGUUUGUCGCGUCGGGAGUGAAAACUCAGGGCUUAACCCUGAGCCUGCUUCCGAUACGGGCAGACUAGAGGUAUGCAGGGGAGAAUGGAAUUCCUGGUGUAGCGGUGAAAAUGCGCAGAUAUCAGGAGGAACACCGGUGGCGAAGGCGGUUCUCUGGGCAUUACCUGACGCUGAGGAGCGAAAGUGUGGGGAGCGAACAGG